CCUACGGGAGACAGCAGUGGGGGAUAUUGCACAAUGGGGGAAACCCUGAUGCAGCGACGCCGCGUGGGUGAAGAAGCGCCUCGGCGCGUAAAGCCCUGUCAGCAGGGAAGAAAAUGACGGUACCUGAAGAAGAAGCCCCGGCUAACUACGUGCCAGCAGCCGCGGUAAUACGUAGGGGGCAAGCGUUAUCCGGAUUUACUGGUGGUAAAGGGGGCGCAGACGGCGAUGCAAGCCAGGAGUGAAAGCCCGGGGCCCAACCCCGGGACUGCUCUUGGAACUGCGUGGCUAGAGUGCAGGAGGGGCAGGCGGAAUUCCUGGUGUAGCGGUGAAAUGCGUAGAUAUCAGGAGGAACACCGGUGGCGAAGGCGGCCUGCUGGACUGCAACUGACGUUGAGGCCCGAAAGCGUGGGGAGCAAACAGGAUUAGAUACCCUAGUAGUC
rnacentral:rRNA from 1 species